GCCCCUGUAGCUCAGUAUGGAUAGAGCAAUGGAUUCCUAAUCCAUGUGUCGCUGGUUCGAGUCCGGCCAGGGGCG
rnacentral:tRNA from 1 species